UCCAUCUCUCCACCUGCCCUUACUGCCUCAUCUGACCUGAUGUUGAUGUGAUUUCUUCAUCCUCAGGAUGAUCCCGCUGGAGUAACCUGGAGUAAAGUGUCUUGAUCAAGGACACACUGGAGGAGAUGCUGCAGAGAUCAAACCAGCAAACCUUCUGCUGACCAGCUCAGUGGUUUAACCACACCACAAAAUCACGCUGAUGGAGAGCACAUGAAUGUUUGCAGCAGACACAGCUGCAGCCAGAUUGUCCUGCACAUGUUCUUCCACUCUUGCUUCAAGGUUGUGUGGUUCAGAGGACCAUCAUCAUGGUCUUCCUCAUCCUCUGGAUCAAUGAUGUCCCCAUUGAGAAGAGCAGCAGUGAGGGACAUGAUGGAUGAAGGUGUUCAUCAGCUGCUUGAUCAAAAUAAAGCUGCAGAAUUGGCACAGCUGUGUUGAGAUGGCAGUAGGACUGUAAAUACGUGAUUGUUAGAUCAAUAAA